UUAAUAAGCCUCAUUUGAUCGAACAUAUAUAUAGGAAAUAGUUAUACUGUUAGAUCUUUCCCAUCGUUUGACAACCAUUUUUCCCAAAUCUUUUUCUAUUUUCAGUUUCCCCAACUCCCUUAAUAUAUUUGAUUUCCCAAAAUGUUUUUAUAUUUUCCAUCCUUAAAGAUACUCUCAGAUCUCUAAACUUUAAAGAUUUAGGGUUUUGAAAUAAAUGGCGAAAUCCACUUAUAUAUCUCGCAGGUUCUAUUUUCUUUAUACCCACUGACAGCAUCACGAUGUCAACACCUAUUCCAGGAGAGUCGAAUGCCCUCUUCAUUAAGAGGCAAGAAAAAUAUAUCGCAGUUGCAACAUGUCUUGAAUGAUGGUGUAACUGUUUCCAUAAAGGCCUUUUCUACCGCAUCUAAUGGAUCGCAAAGGAAUCACAAAUUAUGUUUACUUCAAAGAUUAUGUUCUCUCCCAACACCAUGUCAGCCCAAUUCUAGACUACUGUUAUCUCAAGGAUUUAGAGUAAGUCUUCAAUAUAUAUCACUGUAUAUCUUGCUAUUAUUGUAGGCGUUAUUAACCAAAUUUACUGUUUGGUGUUAUUCCUAGCUAGGUGCAAAUCAAGAUCACCAAAUUUACUGUUUGUGUUAUUCCUCACCUCAUCUUGAUAACUUUGUUGAAGCUUGCAGCACAUCACGGAUUACACGCUCUGCCAAAAUGUCUUCAGUUCUGUGACAUUCUUGGGUAAAAUUUAUCCAGCUAUUCACUAUUUUUAUCAGAUCUAGAUACCAAAAAGACAAAUGUAUUAUUUAGAGAUGACAUAAUAAGGCAAAUUGGGUAAUGGGUCAAAGCAUGUGGUUUUUUGGUGCUUGCCGAACUGGUCAUAUUCAUUGGAUGUAAUCAAUCAUUGUUCAAUAUUUAGCAAAUAGAAUGGUUCCUUCCCUAAUGCUUCAGGAACUCUGCGAAAGUCUACAAAAUGUUUGCUAUAGCAGCCAAAAUGUUUGUUGGUAGGGAACGUUUUUCAACAAUUAUUAUUUGGAUAUGAAGUUUGUCAUCUCCUUUGCUUCAAGCGCAUUACUUAUCUCGAAAUAUAAAUUUAGAGUCGUGAACGAGAUAAAAAAAUAAAUCACUUGUAGCUUUCUCUGUAACGGGAGUGGAUCCAAACGGUGGUUUGCUGGUAUAUGUCUAGAAGCAAUAUAGAGGCUGAGCGGGAAACUACGACUACCCAAUUGGCAGUGACAUUUAAGCAGCCCAAUUGCUUCUGUUCCAGUACGAUUCAUAUCAUCCAUGAGAUCUAAUGACAGUUCAUAAGGAGAUCGAUUUCCCGCUUUGUAUAUUGGGGAUCUGCUACUUUUCUUUUGUGUCCACACAAUUAUAGCUUUCAUUUUAGGGUAUCUCAUUUCAUGUUCCAGUCUUUGUUCACUUAUUACCAUUGUGCAAGAUAUUGAGUAGUUUGGUUUUCAUGUCAUCUCAGGACUUGGAACCUUAGAAAUUAUUUGUGUAGUGCUCUAUCCUACGGGAUCAUCUGAAGUCUAAACCCAAUUCAAAUUUUAGAAUUAUCUUUGUA